CCCUUAGAUGUCCUGGGCCGCACGCGUGCUACACUGACGCCUACAGCGAGCACUUUCCAGCCCCGAGAGGCGGCUGGUAAUCAGCAAUAGGCGUCGUGAUGGGGAUAGAUCUUUGGAAUUAUGGAUCUUGAACGAGGAAUGCCUAGUAAGCGCAGGUCAUUAGCCUGCGCUGAUUAAGUCCCUGCCCUUUGUACACACCGCCCGUCGCUCCUACCGAUUGAACGUUCCGAUGAAUACCAUGGAUUGAGAGUCUGAAUGGGUUCGCCUAUUUCUGCUUCUCGAGAAGUGGAGUAAAUCUUAGCGUUUAGAGGAAGGAGAAGUCGUAACA
rnacentral:rRNA from 1 species